rnacentral:rRNA from 1 species
CCUACGGGUGGCAGCAGUGAGGAAUAUUGGUCAAUGGGCGGGAGCCUGAACCAGCCAAGUCGCGUGAGGGAAGACGGUCCUACGGAUUGUAAACCUCUUUUGCCGGGGAGCAACGGGGUCCUUGCGAGGGCCCAAUGAGAGUACCCGGAGAAAAAGCAUCGGCUAACUCCGUGCCAGCAGCCGCGGUAAUACGGAGGAUGCGAGCGUUAUCCGGAUUUAUUGGGUUUAAAGGGAGCGUAGAUGGGUUGUUAAGUCAGUUGUGAAAGUUUGCGGCUCAACCGUAAAAUUGCAAUUGAUACUGGCAGUCUUGAGUACAGUUGAGGUAGGCGGAAUUCGUGGUGUAGCGGUGAAAUGCUUAGAUAUCACGAAGAACUCCGAUUGCGAAGGCAGCUUACUAAACUGCCACUGACAUUGAUGCUCGAAAGUGUGGGUAUCAAACAGGAUUAGAUACCCUUGUAGUC